CACCAUAAGAGCUGUAAGUCAUUCAUUUCCCUCACAAUCCUGAUUUAAGCCCCCUCUUUUUGUCUGCGUAUCUAUAUCCGAUGACUGAUGCAUGCUUCCUUUAAUUUCCGCAUCUUAGUUGGAAGAGGAGAACAAGACGUUAGCCAGCGAACUGGCCCAUCUUCUGGAGCGGAAUGAGGAACUCAAGCACUUAACAAAUCUUGAUCCAGAAAGAGAGGCUGACAGAAAGGAGUUGGAGGUUGCAAUAUUGAAGAAAAAAUUGGAAAUGGAGCAGAAGGCAAUCAGCCGACUCACCGCUGAGGUCUCAAGAGAGAGGGAGAGGAGAAGAGACCUCAUGAGAGCGCGGGACCGGGCAAUCGAUGCCAUCUGCUCCCAGCUACUGUCUAUCCCUUAUUCGGAGAGAAGAUUGUCGGUGAGCUUUGUCCUUCUGCUUCUGGGAGAGAAAGAGACAUAUUUCA